rnacentral:lncRNA from 1 species
UGGACAUCAUAUGGGCUUGCCUCUGGACAUCACAUGGGUCUGGCCCGGCUGGGAAUCCUCUGGCCGCUGCAGCUACAAAUACUUGGGCAAAAGCAACGAACAGCCUAUCCAGUGGAUCACGGCACGAACCGGCGGCGGCUCUUUCCUCUUCCUCCUCUGGCUCUCUUCUCAAUCCCCAUUUCCUGCUGCAACUUGUAUCCUAGAUUAGCUACCUCUUGUAAUCGGCUACUGUGAUUGAGUAGUGAGAGUUGGUUCUUAACAUCUGGUAUUCAGAGCCAGUCCACCACCUUUCCACCACCCAAAUUUUCCCCAAUUUUUCUUCCACACCGAUUCAUCCGUUCCAUCGGCGACAACGCCAUGCCUGCCGACAAACCACCAGAGUGGGAUGCCAUGUCCACCAAGGAGCAGUUGUUGUGGUAUCUCGAGAGGUUAUGCGCUCAGGCAGACGAGAUGUGCUCAGCAUUGGGUAUUGCACGAGUGGGUGACCCUCCCAUGGUCACCUCGCUUAUCGAUCCGGCGGCUUCAACCACGACGCACGCCUCGUCCGCGCCCGUCCCCGACGUCUCCUGCUCCACCACCAAGUCCCAGGAGGUCCUCAAGGUCCUCCACGACACGGCCCCUGCCUCCAUCGAGAUGGCGCACGUCAUCUGUUCGAUGAAAUGCUCGGACGAGGUCGCCACCACCGAAUUUGGCGACACGGGCCAUGAUGCCCCUACUGCCAUCCUUCUCAAGCCAGCGGUCGACCUCAACGACAUCACGCCCACCCCUCCAAUGGCCAAACCGGAAGACCAGAAGGAGUACCAGGUUGUUGCGACCACGCCCUGGGCUGUCGAUAUCACCAUCGAUGUCCAACUUGCCACCCCUAUACCUCCCAUGCUCUCGAGGUAUGACCCUGACAACAACUGCGACGACGUUGCUGAUGCGUCCCUGAUUUUGUUGGUCGCGCACUCGGCGAAAUCAGUGCCUUCGGUUGUCCUCGUCCACGGCAAUGCCAGGGUGCAGCCAAUUGCACGCACAGAGCAUCGACCAAAUGGCGUUCAUCUUGUGAUGGGGAGCAAAUGCUUACUACUGCCACCAUUGCAAAAGGAAAUCAAGCAGCAACCGUGGCCACCCCCUAUUCAAGUGCAGAUUGUUGAGGAGGGUGUUGUUCUCUUCUAUGACAUCCCUCAAAGCUGUUUUACUGAUGAUUUUGGCUAUGAGUGGUGGCCACCUGACCACCAGCCGGGUGACUAUCAAACAGAGCUUUCUUUUGCAGUACAUCCAGAUGGAGAACCGUUCUUGAACCAUGUCUGGGACGUCUCGCCGCACACAAGGCACCAGGGCCUGCUACUACGGCCGAUACCGUGGCCAUCGUUUCUGGAAGAUCAUAUUGCAGAAGGGAAUGAGAUUCAACCAACUCCAUGGCCAUCAUUUGCAGUCAGUGUGCCAUCAGAGGUUUGUCAUUCUAGUGUUGCCCAUUGCAACUUCUCGGUGACUACUUCUGUUCAUAGCCUUCAUAAAUGGACAUUCAGGGCACAUCCAUAUCAGUUUGCCCAAGUGCUUGACAUGGGUUUGACUAGUAGCAGCUUUCCAAUGGAAUCAUGUCAUGUUGGAGAUCUUGUGGGCAAUCACCGUAGACACUGCAUACAGAAGAAUUUUUCUGGUGAUCUAAAGCUCCCGAGAGAAUCCUGGAAGUACCUACAAAUUGUACAGCAGAAACCAUGUCAGCCUGAGCAGGAAUGGAGGUUAUCUAUUUCAACUGAGCUACAAGGUUAUGACACACCAGGUGCGGACCGUGAGCACCAAACAAAGGCGCAACCACUGUUCGAGUUCAGUCAAGGGACGACCCAGCUGAAGCAUUCGUGGCCAUCAUUGUCAUGCAAUUGCCGAGCAGUACAGGUUUUGAGCAUGUCAGUGUUGUAUCUCUCGAGUGUGCAGUUGAAACUAUCUCCCUCUAAGAAGGCCUUUUCUGCAUUUCGGGCUCGAGAUGUACAUCCAAGGUUUGGGUUCAGUCAAAAAAAUAUUCAGCUGAAGCUAGCAGGGCCACAUUUUUCCCGGGAUUGCCGAGCAGUGCAGUUUCUUGUUAUUCAUGAGAAGUUGACUAGUCGUUUGUGCCAUGAGCAAUUGUGGAGCACUAAAUACCAUGUGUGUAAAAACCAAGAGCGGCUGAACUUAUGUGAAAAUCACGUUCUGGAGCAAGCUACUACUUAUAAUAUUCCUUGGCAUGAGAAAUUGCAGGGGGGCAUGAAGACCAUGAGCAUGUCAGCAAAUUGGCCACUUUUGGUUCAGAGGGAAUAUAAGAGGAGUGGCCAUCUUGUUAAGAAAUGCAAUGCUAAACAAAUACCUGGGGGUUCCAGAGCUAGAAUUCACCUAACUAUACUACUGAUCACUUUUAACUGUUGCCCCCCAUUUGGUGCAAAAAUGCUUGGUGGAAAUGCUUAUCACUUGCUUAUGAUACAGAUCAUCGCAACCCUUCUGAGCGAUUUACCAGCGAAAUCUAUUGGAGCUGAGUUGCAGCAACAUGUUACACUGCCUGGGAAUUAUUUUGCAUUGUUUCAGCCGAAGUCCCGAAGGCCACUUCAUAUCAUUGUUUUCGCUCAGGUGUCUUUGUUCAGCAAGCAGGCCAUAGCUGAAUCUCUGCAUGACAAGACGUCCCCUUGGCCACUGAUUAAAUUUGAGGUUCUUGUGCUACCUGACAACAAGUCAUCUGUGCUAAUUUCCUUUCUUUCCACAAGAAAGUGGAGCGUACUAGGAGGCCCAUCGCAAGAUGUUGCUGAACUAGAUGGUAUGGUGGGAAAGGUGGAACGAGUAUCUCAUAUGGGCAACCCCAUUCAUCUAUUCGUUGAGCAACAAAUGUCACUACCUGACCCUGACGACAACACAAGCAUGAAUAACAUACAAAUUGCAAUUAUGCACAAGUCAUGGGACCCCAGGAGCAUUACCAUGCCAACUUCGCAUCUUCAGCCGUCAAAGGUUACAGGGGCAAUGGUCUUUAGCAAGGAAGCACGAGCCGUGGGUGGAAUGGUGCCUUGUACCCUCUCUGGUCAAGAGCAUGCUGAAAGAAGGGGGUUGAAGAUCCUUAUGUCGAUGCUCACCAGCCAUGAGUGGUAUGUCGUUCUCUCAAUGCUGCUAUGAAGAGCAUUUUCAAGGAGUGGGGAAUGUCAUCGCGGUCGUUGUUGCUGCCGGCUUGGUGCAAGGCUACGUCGACCACAAGUACUACAUCGGCGUCUACAACAACUACUUCCUCGACAUCUUCUUCGUUGAGGUCGCCAUCGGCCACGACUACUACAACCUCGUCAUUCAAGUCAACCCCGACUUCGACUACCACCACGACAUCAAGCUAGUCAAGGAACACCCAGUGCCAUGGGAUCCGGGCGGUUCUCAAUGGCGUCGUUCAAGGGGCAAGGACGAUCGAGUGCAAUGGGAUCCGGGAGGGUCUUGGUGGCGUCGGCUUGGGGGCAAGCCGAAUCUCAAGAAGGGGGGAUGUCAGGGCCCUCCCCUAGCCCAUAUGGGCUUGCCUCUGGACAUCAUAUGGGCUUGCCUUUGGACAUCACAUGGGCCUGGCCCGGCUGGGAAUCCUCUGGCCGCUGCAGCUAUAAAUACUUGGGCAAAAGCAACGAACAACCUAUCCAGUGGAUCACGGCACGAACCGGCGGCGGCUCUUUCCUCUUCCUCCUUUGGCUCUCUUCUCAAUCCCCAUUUCCUGCUGCAACUUGUAUCCCAGAUUAGCUACCUCUUGUAAUCGGCUACUGUGAUUGAGUAGUGAGAGUUGGUUCUUAA